rnacentral:rRNA from 1 species
UUUGGCUCAGGAUGAACGCUGGCGGGAUGCCUAACACAUGCAAGUCGAGCGGUAACACUUCGGGUGACGAGCGGCGAACGGCUGAGUAACAUGUUGGUACUCGCCCCAGACUCAGGGAUAAGCUCGAGAAAUCGAGUCUAAUACCGGAUGUCCCAGUAAUGGGAAAGAUUUAUCGGUCUGGGAGAGGCCUGCAUCGUAUCAUGCUUGUUGGUAAGGUAAUGGCUUACCAAGGCUUUGACGCGUACCUGGUGUGAGAGCACGACCAGGCAGAGUGGGACUGAGACACGGCCCACACUCCUACGGGAGGCAGCAGUGAGGAAUUUUCCACAAUGGGCGAAAGCCUGAUGGAGCAAUCCCGCGUGCAGGAUGACACCUUUCGGGGCGUAAACUGCUUUUCUGAGGGAAGAAGUUCUGACGGUACCUCAGGAAUAAGGGGCGGCUAACUACGUGCCAGCAGCCGCGGUAAUACGUAGGCCCCAAGCGUUAUCCGGAAUCACUGGGCGUAAAGCGUUCGAAGACGGAUUUGUAAGUGAAGUGUUAAAUACCUACGGCUCAACCGAGGUGCUGUACUUCAAACUGCAAGACUAGAGGAAAGCAGAGGAAGCUGGAAUUCCCAUUGUAGGGGUAAAAUCCGUAGAUAAUGGGAGGAACACCAAAAGCGAAGGCAGGCUUCUGGGCUUUUCCUGACGUUGCGCGAACGAAAGCGUGGGGAGCGAAAGGGAUUAGAUACCCCUGUAGUCCACGCCGUAAACGAUGAAUACUCGGUGUACGCUGGUUCAAUCCCAGUGUGUGCCCAAGCUAACGCGUUAAGUAUUCCGCCUGGGGAGUACGGUCGCAAGACUAAAACUCAAAGGAUAGACGGGGAUCCACACAAGCGGUGGAGCAUCUGGUUUAAUUCGAUAAUAAGCGGGGAACCUUACCAGACCUUGACAUCCCGAGAAUUCUACCGAAGGGUAGAAGUGCCUUUAGGAACUCGGUGACAGGUGUUGCAUGGUUGUCGUCAGCUCGUGCCUUGAGGUGUGCGGUUAAGUCCGUGAACGAGCGCUACCCUCGUCGUGUGUUGUAUUUUUCACACGAGACUGCCCGUUUUACGCGGGAGGAAGGUGAGGAUGACGUCAAAUCAGCAUGACCCUUAUGGUCUGGGCGACACAGGUGCUACAAUGGCCGGUACAAAGGGCAGCCAACCCGCGAGGGGGAGCCAAUCCCAAAAAACCGGUCUCAGUUCGGAUUGUAGUCUGCAACUCGACUACAUGAAGUUGGAAUCGCUAGUAACCGUAAAUCAGCCACGUUACGGUGAAUCCGUUCCUGGAUCUUGUACUCACCGCCCGUCAAGUCACGAAAGAUAGGGGUGCCCAAAGUCGUGUUAUGCCGACUCGUCGGCAGCAUGCCUAAGGCAAAACUAUUGAUUGGGACUAAGUCGUAACAAGGUA